UACGUAGGUGGCAAGCGUUGUUCGGAAUAACUGGGCGUAAAGGGAGCGUAGGCGGCGCAGUAAGUUAGGAGUGAAAUCCCGGGGCUCAACCCCGGAACUGCUUUUAAAACUGCUGUGCUUGAGUGAUGGAGAGGAAAGCGGAAUUCCUAGUGUAGCGGUGGAAUGCGUAGAUAUAUGGAAGAACACCAGUGGCGAAGGCGGCUGUCUGGUCUGCAACUGACGCUGAGGCUCGAAAGCAUGGGUAGCGAACAGG
rnacentral:rRNA from 1 species